rnacentral:rRNA from 1 species
UGCGUAGGCGGUCCCGCAAGUCCGCUGUGAAAUCCCCGGGCUUAACCUGGGAAUGGCAGUGGAAACUAGGGGACUUGAAUCUGGCAGAGGGGGGUGGAAUGCCACGUGUAGCAGUGAAAUGCGUAGAGAUGUGGCGGAACACCGAUGGCGAAGGCAGCCCCCUGGGCUGAGAUUGACGCUCAGGCACGAAAGCGUGGGGAGCAAACAGGAUUAGAUACCCUGGUAGUCCACGCCCUAAACGAUGAUCACUAGGUGUUGGGGAAGCGAUUUCUCAGUACCGCAGCUAACGCGUGAAGUGAUCCGCCUGGGGAGUACGGUCGCAAGAUUAAA